CGGGCCCCUCCAUGGGGUGCGCACGCGCCCCUUCCGAGAGGGACCUCAGGUCAGACAUGGCGACCGACUGAUUUUAAACAGAUUAGUCAGCGGAGGAGGAGAAACUAACCAGGAUUCCCUCAGUAACGGCCAGUGGACAGGGAAGAGCCCAGAGCCGAAUCCCCGCCCGGUGGUGGGGCGCGGGGAAGGUGGCUGGGGGGAGUCCCACCCC